UGGGGAAUUUUGGACAAUGGGCGAAAGCCUGAUCCAGCAAUGCCGCGUGUGUGAAGAGGGCCUUCGGGUUGUAAAGCACUUUUGUCCGGAAAGAAAUCCUUGGCUCUAAUACAGUCGGGGGAUGACGGUACCGGAAGAAUAAGCACCGGCUAACUACGUGCCAGCAGCCGCGGUAAUACGUAGGGUGCAAGCGUUAAUCGGAAUUACUGGCGUAAAGCGUGCGCAGGCGGUUUGCUAAGACCGAUGUGAAAUCCCCGGGCUCAACCUGGGAACUGCAUUGGUGACUGGCAGGCUAGAGUAUGGCAGAGGGGGGUAGAAUUCCACGUGUAGCAGUGAAAUGCGUAGAGAUGUGGAGGAAUACCGAUGGCGAAAGGCAGCCCCCUGGGCCAAAUACUGACGCUCAUGCACGAAAGCGUGGGGAGCAAAACAGGAUUAGAUACCCUGGUAGUCCACGCCCUAAAACGAUGUCAACUAGUUGUU
rnacentral:rRNA from 1 species